GCAGACAUGGCCGAGUGGUUAAGGCGACAGACUUGAAAUCUGGGAGCGCAGGUUCAAAUCCUGCUGUCUGCG